GCCUUCAUUGUUUAGUGGUCAGCACACUCGGCGCGUAUUCGAGAGGUCCGUGGUUCGAGUCCCGGCGAAGGCA
rnacentral:tRNA from 1 species